rnacentral:rRNA from 1 species
UACAGAGGUCCCAAGCGUUGUUCGGAUUUACUGGGCGUAAAGGGUGCGUAGGUGGCGGGGUAAGUCUGGUGUGAAAGCUCCGAGCUCAACUCGGAAAAGCAUUGGAAACUACCCCGCUUGAGGGUCGGAGGGGAGACUGGAAUUCUCGGUGUAGCAGUGAAAUGCGUAGAUAUCGAGAGGAACACCAGUGGCGAAGGCGAGUCUCUGGACGACUCCUGACACUGAGGCACGAAAGCUAGGGGAGCAAACAGG